rnacentral:rRNA from 1 species
GACGAACGCUGGCGGCGUGCUUAACACAUGCAAGUCGAACGGAAAGGCCCUGCUUUUGUGGGGUGCUCGAGUGGCGAACGGGUGAGUAACAUGUGAGUAACCUGCCCUUGACUUUGGGAUAACUUCAGGAAACUGGGGCUACUACCGGAUAGGAGCUCCUGCUGCAUGGUGGGCGUUGGAAAGUUUCGGCGGUUGGGGAUGGACUCGCGGCUUAUCAGCUUGUUGGUGGGGUAGUGGCUUACCAAGGCUUUGACGGGUAGCCGGCCUGAGAGGGUGACCGGCGACAUUGGGACUGAGAUACGGCCCAGACUCGUACGGGAGGCAGAAGUGGGGAAUAUUGCACAAUGGGCGGAAGCCUGAGGCAGCAGCGCCGCGUGCGGGAUGACGGCCUUCGGGUUGUAAACCGCUUUCGCCUGUGACGAAGCGUGAGUGACGGUAAUGGGUAAAGAAGCACCGGCUAACUACGUG